AUCUCUCAGCCAAAAAUCCAAUGCAACGCCACGGCGUGUUGGCCCUUGAUAAAAUAAAUCUUCGCAAAUCGAUAACGGUUUGCUCAAAAGAUCUGACUUACUCGGGGCCUCACCGAUUUCGGAGAUGACAGAUCAAAAUCGCAAGAUAUCAACGAAUAGGCAUAUCACGGUUUGACAAUCAUGUUCCAACCGUUAGCUGAUAAUUAUUCCCAACCAAUUGCCGUGUUUGCCGCGAAAAACUAAGUGAACGGUGAGGAGCUUGCGAAAAUCGUGAUCAAAGCGAUAACAUAUAUAGAAAAUUACGGAGCCAAAAUUCAUGGCAUUAUUUCGGAUGGAGCCUUGACUAAUAAAAAAAUAUGCAGUCGCUCCUGGGUGUUCAAAGUACACGUUGGAUUACACGAAAACGUGGUUCACUCAUCCAAACGACGACGAUCGACAAGUUUUUGUGUUUUUGGAUGUGCCACACGUGAUUAAGUGUAUUCGGAAUCGACUGUACGGGAAGGGCCGUUUGAAAUUGAGUGGCGAAAGUAAUUAUAUUGCCUGGAAGUACUUCGUACAGUUGUUUAACUUGGACAGCCAGCAGUUAGGGCAUGCUCGAGCCUGUCCCAAACUCUCAAUGCGACAUAUACAACUCGAUAACACAGCGAAGAUGCGAGUCCGCCUUGCCACACAAAUUUUCAGCAAUUCCAUGACUAAUGGCUUCCAAUUUUACUCGCGCUAUUACCCUGAGGCACUCCGAGGCUAUGAAGAAACGGGUAAGUUCUGUAAAAAAAUAAACGACAUGUUCGACGCUUUCAAUCGAAAGAUUCCUAAUCAAGGUCUCGUCCCGGACAACGAUGACUUCAAGGUUUAUAACUGAAUUCAGUACUUAUAUGUUAUUCCA